UACGGGGGGGGCAAGCGUUGUUCGGAAUUACUGGGCGUAAAGGGCUUGUAGGUGGCCAACUAAGUCAGACGUGAAAUCCCUCAGCUUAACUGGGGAACUGCGUCUGAUACUGGAUGGCUUGAGUUUGGGAGAGGGACGCGGAAUUCCUGGUGUAGCGGUGAAAUGCGCAGAUAUCAGGAGGAACACCUAUUGCGAAGGCAGCUCGCUGGGACGUCACUGACGCUGAGACGCGAAAGCGUGGGGAGCAAACAGG
rnacentral:rRNA from 1 species